AUUGAACGCUGGCGGCAUGCCUUACACAUGCAAGUCGAACGGUAACAGGUCUUCGGACGCUGACGAGUGGCGAACGGGUGAGUAAUACAUCGGAACGUGCCCAGUCGUGGGGGAUAACUACUSGAAAGAGUAGCUAAUACCGCAUACGAUCUGAGGAUGAAAGCGGGGGACCUUCGGGCCUCGCGCGAUUGGAGCGGCCGAUGGCAGAUUAGGUAGUUGGUGGGAUAAAAGCUUACCAAGCCGACGAUCUGUAGCUGGUCUGAGAGGACGACCAGCCACACUGGGACUGAGACACGGCCCAGACUCCUACGGGAGGCAGCAGUGGGGAAUUUUGGACAAUGGGCGAAAGCCUGAUCCAGCAAUGCCGCGUGCAGGAUGAAGGCCUUCGGGUUGUAAACUGCUUUUGUACGGAACGAAAAAGCUUCUCCUAAUACGAGAGGCCCAUGACGGUACCGUAAGAAUAAGCACCGRCU
rnacentral:rRNA from 1 species